AACAUGACUUCUUAGGGGGAAAAUUAGGGUAAAUGGUGUUUUUUUAAAACAAACAAACAAACAAACACUGAUUUACUUUUGUUAAAGGAUUAUGCCUCAAGAGGCACAUGGGAAGAGACCUGGCUGUUAUUUUAGUUGCUCACCAGGAAGAUGUCUCCAAGUCAAAUACCAGUGGGUGUUCAGCUUUCCUUGUAUAAUCAGGCUCUUUUUAUUAGCUCCACACCAAAGAGGUCUGCUCACCCCAUCUAUCCAUCAUCUCUUACAACACCGAGCAUUUCCUAUGUGCAUAACCCUGAGCUCAAUGUUGAAAUCCAGCAUUGAAGAUGGCCAGUGAUUCCUGCCAUCCUGUUCUAGGAGAUGAGACAGACAUUAAAUGACUGAUAACCUCAUUAAGUAUGCUCAAGUUGACCUCCUAGAAGUCAGCCUAGGAGUUCUUAGUGGAAGAGGAACCCAGCUUCUCCCCAGACUCAUUGGAAUUCCAACUUCACUUGAUUUAAUU
rnacentral:lncRNA from 1 species